GCCAGUUUGACAUAGUGGUUUGAGUGUUGGACUAUGACUCUGGAUGCCAGGGUUCGAUUCUCAGCUUAGUCA